UCCAGCAGGUCAGAGGUAGUGUGUUCUACUCACCACUAGAUCCAGCAGGUCAGAGGUAGUGUGUUCUACUCACCACUAGAUCCAGCAGGUCAGAGGUAGUGUGUUCUACUCACCACUAGUUCCAGCAGGUCAGUGUCGAAGCAGGGCAGAGGGUUCCUCCAGAACUGGAAGCUGUUGUACUCUGCGAUCUCUGGAGGGUUAUAGCUGUG